UGGGGAAUCUUCCGCAAUGGACGAAAGUCUGACGGAGCAACGCCGCGUGAGUGAUGAAGGUUUUCGGAUUGUAAAACUCUGUCUUUUGGGACGAACGGCCUUUAUGUGAAUAAUGUAGAGGAUUGACGGUACCAAAGGAGGAAGCCCCGGCUAACUACGUGCCAGCAGCCGCGGUAAUACGUAGGGGGCGAGCGUUGUCCGGAAUUAUUGGGCGUAAAGAGCGCGCAGGCGGUUUGUUAAGUCUACCGUGAAAGCUUACGGCUCAACCGUAACGGGCCGGUGGAUACUGGCAGACUUGAGGGCAGGAGAGGAAAGUGGAAUUCCCAGUGUAGCGGUGAAAUGCGUAGAGAUUGGGAGGAACACCAGUGGCGAAGGCGACUUUCUGGACUGCAACUGACGCUGAGGCGCGAAAGCUGGGGGAGUGAACGGGAUUAGAUACCCCGGUAAUCCCAGCCGUAAACGAUGGGUACUAGGUGUAGGAGGUAUCGACCCUUCAGUGCCGGAGUU
rnacentral:rRNA from 1 species